GAUGAACGCUAGCGAUAGGCCUAACACAUGCAAGUCGAGGGGCAUCACAUGAAGUAGCAAUACGGAUGGUGGCGACCGGCGCACGGGUGAGUAACACGUAUGCAACCUGCCUUCAACAAGGGGAUAACCCGUUGAAAGACGGACUAAUACCCUAUAACACAGGGGUCCCGCAUGGGAAUAUUUGUUAAAGGACAACCGGUUGAAGAUGGGCAUGCGUUCCAUUAGCUAGUUGGCGGGGUAACGGCCCACCAAGGCAACGAUGGAUAGGGGAACUGAGAGGUUUAUCCCCCACACUGGUACUGAGACACGGACCAGACUCCUACGGGAGGCAGCAGUGAGGAAUAUUGGUCAAUGGACGCAAGUCUGAACCAGCCACGUCGCGUGAAGGAAGACGGCCCUACGGGUUGUAAACUUCUUUUAACGGGAAUAAAGUGCCCCACGCGUGGGGUUUUGCAUGUACCGUAUGAAUAAGGAUCGGCUAACUCCGUGCCAGCAGCCGCGGU
rnacentral:rRNA from 1 species